GACGUAGGGCGCGAGCGUUGUCCGGAUUGAUUGGGCGUAAAGGCUCGUAGGCGGUUUGUCGCGUCGGGAGUGAAAACGCCGGGCUUAACCCGGUGCUUGCUUUCGAUACGGGCAGACUGGAGGUAUGCAGGGGAGAACGGAAUUCUGGUGUAGUAGUGAAAUGCGUAGAUAUCAGGAGGAAUACCGAUGGCGAAGGCAGGUCUCUGGGCUGACACUGACGCUCGAUGACACGAAAGCGUGGGGAGCAAACAGG
rnacentral:rRNA from 1 species